rnacentral:rRNA from 1 species
GAUGAACGCUGGCGGCGUGCCUAAUACAUGCAAGUCGAGCGAACGGACGAGAAGCUUGCUUCUCUGAUGUUAGCGGCGGACGGGUGAGUAACACGUGGAUAACCUACCUAUAAGACUGGGAUAACUUCGGGAAACCGGAGCUAAUACCGGAUGAUAUUUUGAACCGCAUGGUUCAAAAGUGAAAGACGGUCUUGCUGUCACUUAUAGAUGGAUCCGCGCUGCAUUAGCUAGUUGGUAAGGUAACGGCUUACCAAGGCAACGAUGCAUAGCCGACCUGAGAGGGUGAUCGGCCACACUGGAACUGAGACACGGUACAGACUCCUACGGUAGGCAGCAGUAGGGAAUCUUCCGCAAUGGGCGAAAGCCUGACGGAGCAACGCCGCGUGAGUGAUGAAGGUCUUCGGAUCGUAAAACUCUGUUAUUAGGGAAGAACAUAUGUGUAAGUAACUGUGCACAUCUUGACGGUACCUAAUCAGAAAGCCACGGCUAACUACGUG